rnacentral:rRNA from 1 species
AUGGGGUCCCUCACAGGUUCUUGGAUGAUGAACUUGUGUGGGGGUCCAAUAUGCUCCAACCAAGAUGUGCUUUCAUGUGCCUUCAAGGAAGUCUUCGACUCUUCCACUUGCACGAAUCAUCUGGUGGCGACUAGCAUCGCCUUGCUGCUUGUCCUCGCGCUCGCGCUCCAGCUGCUUAUCAAAAUCCCGAAGAGUAGAGCGUCUGCUCAAGGGCUCGUCGCACUCGGCUCACCACUGCAGUUGGCUGCAGUGGUCUUCAGUGGCUGUUUGGGGUUGGCUUAUCUUGGCCUAGGACUGUCGAUGGAUUCUGAUUUCAGAGCUUAG